AUUAUCAUUAAGUAACAAUACCUGAUUCGAUACGUCUUACGAGCGUCUGUAGUGCAGGGUCUAACCCAAUAACGUUUGUUAUUAGGUUCUAUUUGUCACGUCUGGUGGCUGAUGUUACGUUAUUUUUUUCUUCGCGCAUAAGUGAUCGAAUGCACUAUUUU
rnacentral:telomerase_RNA from 1 species